UUUGCCCAGCCCAGGAAACAACUGAUAGGCAAGCAGUGCUUUGGGGUGGACACUGGGAACUGAAGAAAGCAGCUGAAGCUGUCCACCAGCCAAAGGGGACUCCUAGUGCAAAUUACACUCUUGUGCAGAGAGAACUCAAAGGACUACACUCUGGAAUAUGGAAACAAAAAAUUCCUCAAGCUUUGUUUCCAGACCACUAAUGCUUUCAGUCAUGUAAGACGUGCCUGCUCCUGCUUUGCCAUCCAACAUGAUUAUAAGUUUCCUGAGGCCUCUACAGAGGCAGAAGCUGCUGUGCUUCCUAUACAGCCUUCAGAACCAUGAACCAAUUAAACUUCGUUUCUGUGUAAAUUACCCUGUGUCCAGUAUUUUUAUAGCAAUGGAAGAAUGCGGGCAUCGCCUAUGGGAUUAGUUUUGAACGUAGAAUGUCUUGUAUGGUGAGAGUUGAUGUAUCAGUCAAGUUAGGCUAGAUUACACCAAGGUUGAAAAAUCUCAGUGGUGGCCAGGCAUGGUGGCUCACUGUAAUCGCAGCACUUUGGGAGGCUGAGGCCAGAGGAUCGAU
rnacentral:lncRNA from 10 species